CAGCCGCCGCGGUAAUACGUAGGUCCCGAGCGUUGUCCGGAAUUACUGGGCGUAAAGCGUGCGUAGGUGGUGGUUUAAGUCCGUUGUGAAAGCCCUGGACUCAACCUGGGAAUUGCAGUGGAUACUGGGUCACUAGAGUGUGGUAGAGGAUAGUGGAAUUUCCGGUGUAGCAGUGAAAUGCGUGGAGAUCGGAAGGAACAUCUGUGGCGAAGGCGACUAUCUGGGCCAACACUGACACUGAGGCACGAAAGCGUGGGGAGCAAACAGGAUUAGAUACCCGAGUAGUCCCUGUCUCUUAUAC
rnacentral:rRNA from 1 species